UCAUGUUGCUUGCUUCUUGUUUCCACACAACAUUUGUUAUUCUUUUUGUUCAUAUUCAAUGUUAUUCUGGCAGAUGACAUUCACUCAAAUAUCGAUGCUUCUGCCGGUGCAACAUCCCAAGCUAAGGUUCAGCUAGCCAAAGCUUCCAAAAGUGUGAAAUCAAAAACUAAAUGGUGUUGGUGGGUGCUUGUAAUAUUUGUGGCAGUGCUGGUCAUCUUACUUCUUGUACUCAUUCUUUAGUGUGCAAACAAGUUGGGCAGAUAUUUCUACCCCUCAUUAUCUCUUUUCCAAGAUUGAUUUAAAUUGAUGUAUUUUUCUCAGAUUCUGUGAGUAUUUUAAAGUGUGAAGAGUGUUCCGACCAAAAAAUGUGUUAAGAGAGUUGGGAAGAAGUGGCAUUUGGUUAGGCGAUUUUAAGAAAAGCUGCCCUGUAUUUUUAAUAUAGAUUUGCAGUAUAGAAUUUGUAGUUGCUGUUGAAACAUCAACUCUAGCUAUGCAGAAUAUAUUAACAAUUGCUCAAUAACAAGUGCUUGUGUACCUAUUUGAACAUC